UAAUCUGGUUGAUCCUGCCAGUAGUCAUAUGCUUGCUUCAAGGAUUAAGCCAUGCAAGUGUCGAGUAAAUAACUGCACAGUUGAUCUGCGUACAGCUCAUUACACCAGUCGUAAUCUACCUGCAUGAAUGACUCUGUCAUCGAGUGGAUAACUUCAGUAACUCCGAAGCUAAUACAUGGACGAGAAAUCGAGUAGCCAUUCAGCACAAGGAGUAACAUCCGAGUGUGGCUUCACGAUGCUUUUGGUCGUAAUAGAAACUGGUCAAUCAGAUUGAAUCUAUUGUGGCAUCAGACCAUUCUGUACAAGGAAACCGUUGCUUGCAACAUUCCGUGUGCGGUUGAGCGACUGACCUAUCAGCUUGUUUGCAAUGUAUUGGACUGCAGAGGCUUUGACGGGUAACGGAGAAUCAGGGUUCGAUUCCGGAGAGGGAGCCUGAGAAACGGCUGCCAUGUCUAAGGACAGCAGCAGGCGCGCAAAUUGCCCAAUACUAGCAUGAGCGAGGCAGCGACGAGAAGUAUUUACCUUGUGCUACAUUGUAUCACGAGGAUAGAAAUGGGUGAUAUCCAAAACCAUCACUGAGGAUCGAUUGGAGGGCAAGUCUGGUGCCAGCAGCCGCGGUAAUUCCAGCUCCAAUAGCGUAUACUAAUGCUGUUGCUGUUAAAAAGCUCGUAGUUCGAUAAGGAUUGAUUCUGGUUCAGAUUCAGUGCUUCGCAGCUUUGCUGCAAGUAUUCGAUGAGAUCCGCUUGGAAUUGGUUCUGCAAUGAGUGACUCGUACGGUGGAAGAGCUCUUCAUUGAGCUUGGAAACGCUUUCGCAGCCAACAUCUGCACAAGUACAGUCGUUCGUGAUACCGUGAACAAAACAGCGUGCUCAAAGCAAGUGAUUCUGCUCGAAUGUUCAAGCAUGGAAUAUCAAGGAAUCGACCUGGAGUCUAAUCUUUGCUGGUUUCUGUAUGCGUCUUGGAGAAUUGGACCUGAGAAUAUCGUGCCAUAGUCAGUUCCUCCGGGUUCUGCUGUGGUACUAAGCUCUAGUUUACCGGUAUUAACAGGGAUGAACGGAGCAGUGUGUAUUGGCUCGCGAGAGGUGAAAUUCUUAGACCGUGCCAAGACAAACGUAAGCGAAGGCAUUCUGCAAGUAUAUCUUCACUAAUCAAGAACGAGAGUGCAGGGAUCGAAGAUGAUCAGAUACCGUCGUAGUCUGCUACUGUAAACGAUGCGAACUCGGGAUCAGCCGUCGCCAAUCUUUUCGAUUACCAGGCUGGAACCUACUUACUUCUCCUAGCGCGAAAGCUUUAAGUUUAUGCGUUCAGGGGGGAGUACAGUUGCAAGGCUGAAACUUAAAGGAAUUGACGGAAUGACACCACAAGGCGUGGAUGCUGCGGCUUAAUUUGACUCAACACGGGGAAUCUCACCAGGUCAGGACGCAUGUUGGAUUGACAGAUUGAAAGCUCUUUCUUGAUUAUGUGUAUGGUGGUGCAUGGCCGCUCCUGGUUGGUGGAGUGAUUUGUCUGGUUGAUUCCGUUAACGAACGAGACCU
rnacentral:rRNA from 1 species